rnacentral:rRNA from 1 species
AACGCAAAUUGCGCCUUCUUUCGGAAGGCAUGUCUGUUUGAGGGCACCAUUUAACAAAUAAUGUGCGGGUCGCUAUGUGACGUGCACACGUUGAUGAGCUUUUCCGAAAAAACCAGGUUUUUUCGGUGGCGCAUAAUGAACAGCGUGGGCUUUUUCUUUCGAUUCUCGUGUAGUAAGUAAAUUUUCGACGCUUGGGUUGAGAAAAAGUGCGUGCCGCGCAAUGGGUGUGGCGAAUAUAUACCCCUGCCCCAAUGCCACUCUUUCCCUGCGAAAGAACAUCUUUUAUUCAGGGCCUCAAAUCAGACAAGAGUACCCGCUGAACUUAA